UAUCCCUACCUGUACCUAAUCCGUUAAGGUUCCAGGUCGAGUUAGGUCAACGGAUAUUUAAUUUUAGGUUGAAAAUCUCAACUCAAACCCAAAAAUUUUGAGUUAGGUUCAAAUCGAUUUAUCAGCUAGGUUGGGUAAAUAUGUCAACCCUAUCAAACACCGUCAUGAAGCGAAGCAUUAUACUAUUCAAGUCAUUUUAUCUAGUUGUCUCUCAGUCUCGCAGGCAGCACGCCGCACAUCAUAAUCAUAGUGUCCAAGUAGCUAGCAACCAACAAAAAACAAGUUGCCUUAAUAAUAAAUAUUAUUAACAAUUAAAAUCUAAAAUAAAUGUGUGCAUAAGUUGAAUUUUUCAAUUCCAUGGCUCUAUAUAAACGCAUAUGUUAGAAGAUAAACACAAGCCAAAAAAAAAAAAAAAAAAACAAGAUCUUGAAGCUCUUCGAUCAAUCUUCAUAACCGGAAGAAAGGGUAAAAUCUUGAUUCACCAUGACCAAUAAAUCUGAAGAAGCAUCAGUAAAGUCUAAACAUCAAGGCCAUGAUAAUAGCAACCGAGUUAGUGAAGCAAUCGUAGUCCCACAAAAGAAAAAGGGCAGAAAACGUAAAGUUCUUUGGAAAGUCUCAAAAUGUUUUGUUAGACAUGCAAUGUACCAUGCUUUGGGGAUGCCUCAUAUGAGUGUCAUUGAUGUCGCUAGCUAUCUAUUCUGAUCGACUGGUUGUGUGGCAAUAAUGUACUACUACUAAGUAGUAGUAUUUGGUCAA